UUGAACGCUGGCGGCAGGCCUAACACAUGCCAGUCGAGCGGAUGAGGGAGCUUGCUCCUGGAUUCAGCGGCGGACGGGUGAGUAAUGCCUAGGAAUCUGCCUGGUAGUGGGGGAUAACGUCCGGAAACGGGCGCUAAUACCGCAUACGUCCUGAGGGAGAAAGUGGGGGAUCUUCGGACCUCACGCUAUCAGAUGAGCCUAGGUCGGAUUAGCUAGUUGGUGGGGUAAAGGCCUACCAAGGCGACGAUCCGUAACUGGUCUGAGAGGAUGAUCAGUCACACUGGAACUGAGACACGGUCCAGACUCCUACGGGAGGCAGCAGUGGGGAAUAUUGGACAAUGGGCGAAAGCCUGAUCCAGCCAUGCCGCGUGUGUGAAGAAGGUCUUCGGAUUGUAAAGCACUUUAAGUUGGGAGGAAGGGCAGUAAGUUAAUACCUUGCUGUUUUGACGUUACCAACAGAAUAAGCACCGGCUAACUUCGUG
rnacentral:rRNA from 1 species